AUCGCUCGCGAAAGAAGCAGAAAAGCAGAGCUUUAUCGUCAAGAAUGAUCCAGGAUGCUCGGUCUAUAGAUCGUUCAAACGAUCUGACCAGACCAACACAUGCGCUGAGAAGGCAGCUCGGUUUUAUUACAACAAGCUCCACCCGGGUUUGUUUCUUCAUGAUCUUGAAGCACUAGACAGUCACAGUUUUGAUCGUCAUGAGUACGACAAACAGGAUCAGAAGGCCUAUUAUCAUGUCAAUUUCAAAGCCAAGAAAGGAAAUCGGACCAGUGAGCCAUCCAUUUUCUUUGCAGAAUUGUCCGGGGAGAAUGGACCUGAUAGAGUAACUAUCUGCGCAGAGUUGGAAUCCCCAGGUAAGAUAGAUAACUGCGCUUUCUGCACGGGAAUAUUCCAUCCACCAGACGAUUUCGUCGGCUUCAUGUCUCCUGAUCAUCCAGUCUAGAGGGUAGCCCAAGGAUGCAAAUUGCAAAUGGACGAAUGGCCAAAUGAUCUGUCGCGAAACUACCCACUCAGCGCGUUCUGCUUUUCCUUUUCUAACUUUUCCCUUUUAACUCAAUUUUUGACAAAUUCUGUUACCAACGGAUGGGCCAUGUUGGAUCAGAAAAGCUAAUCCCCAUCAAGGAUAAUCAUCCUCCAACUAGGAUGAAACAACUCAUCCCAAAGAAAAAUCUUUCAUAGAGCACGUGGCUUUAGCCGGUCUUAUUAUUUUUCAU